AAUAGAUAACAGCCAAGGCCCAGCCUUCAAGGAAAGGCCAACUGUUCCACCAUCUUAAUGCUCCCACUUGGAUUAUAGGCUCGCGCUACCAAGCCCAGCAAGCAAUUCUUCUAGCUACGGCCUUAUUAAGAGAAAAUAUUUCUGCUCUAAUUUCGAUGUGGGAAAUUGUUCAAGGACAUGCUUGGCUUUCAUAGCAAAAAAUAGAGCAGAGAACUGUGUGUGUGUGUGUGUGGGUUUUGUCAGCCAUGAGAUUUGCUUUGUAUCAUUGUGAUGGAAAUUGUAUGAUAUUUGUUGAAAGCUAGCGGGGCUUAUAUGUGAAGCAGAGACAUAUAUAGCCUGAAAGCUUUAAUUUGCUUAACUGAGUGAAUGGAAUGGCAGAGAUGAUUGGGUUCUUCCGGCAGCAUCCAAUCACACCCUAUAAGCUUUGCUUCGUUUUUAUUUCCAUCUCACAUUAAUUGUUUUUAUUAUUUAGUUUAGAAAUGAUGCAGGCGAGGGAGGAAAUGAUAUGAUGAAAGAGCGUCAGCAUAAUUUGGAAGCCUAGGACUUGGUUGAUGAUGGAGACCACAUUGAUUGAUAGAUUGAAAUCAUGCCAUGUGCUAGGUUCACCAUACACAGCACGCAGCUCAGGAUUCGAGUCAACACAUAUCCUACCCGGCCUCAGUUGUUCAGCUCCGUCCUAAAGAAAUACAUGCCUAGAAGAGAUGAACUUCACAUAUGUUGAAUGUUUGCUUUACACUUUCAACAAUAUAAUUUAGCUCAAAAG